AGCCUUUCCCAGCAAAGAACUUCAUUCAAGGAGGGGGAGACGGUGAAUUACUACCUCCCACGAAAAAGCCCAGUUCAAUGAGGACAGAAGGACCAGGGCCAGGGGUAAAUGCCGUGACUGCCUCCACUGUACCAACCAAGCGGACUCUAGGAAUCAAUGGCGUUGAUGUGGUCCACUAAAAUUGCCAGUGACGGUGUGUUUGGCAGAAUCUUGCCACAUCCUUCCACGGUGCAGAGGAUGUUCGUCCUCACUUCUUUGGUCAGCUCCACGAUGUCCGUCCUGUGUUUGGCGAAUAGCCCGGGCAGCAUGAAUGAACAGAGGCAUACCGUCCCUCCGCUUUGACUGACAGGCUCCCACUCACUGAAGGCUGGGAAAAGCUGCGCCUACGUCACAUCCAGGAUGCGUUCAUACUUCCGUUUUACAAAAUAAAAGUUUGAAAUUUG